rnacentral:lncRNA from 1 species
GCUCACAGAUUUCUGGGUCUUCUUUAUGAAUUGGAAGAAAACACAGAGAAAGCCGUUGAAUGUUACAGGCGUUCAGUGGAAUUAAACCCAACACAAAAAGAUCUUGUGUUGAAGAUUGCAGAAUUGCUUUGUAAAAAUGAUGUUACUGAUGGAAGAGCAAAAUACUGGGUCGAAAGAGCAGCAAAACUUUUCCCAGGAAGUCCUGCAAUUUAUAAACUAAAGGUAAACAAACAAAACAUAAAGGGAGAAAACUUAAGACAUAACCAUUUCUAAUAUUUGGAGUUUAAAUUACUUUUCAAUAGCAAACCUUAAGCUCAGGUGUUUGUGUUUCCUUUAACAUUUUUCUUUUAAAAAGUGUAUUAAAACCUUUCUGAGCAUCUACUGUCUUAUUAGGCAUUGUUAUACUUUAUAAGUGACAUCUCAUUUACCCUUCUGGAAUAAUUAAUAUUUUAGGGAUUUUACAGUUUAGUAGCUGUAAACUAAGUAGAGCUAAGAUUUACAUUAAGUUCUGUCUGAUAUACAAUUUUUGCUUCAUUAAGUGAAAAUUACCUACAGGAUGACAAUUUAGGGAUAUUUUAAAGAAGAGUUUUCUGAUAACUAUUGUCUGAAAGUAGAAGGGAUUGUAUUUUGAGAUAGUAAGGUUUUC